rnacentral:rRNA from 1 species
CUCCCUGAUGUUAGCGGCGGACGGGUGAGUAACACGUGGGUAACCUGCCUGUAAGACUGGGAUAACUCCGGGAAACCGGGGCUAAUACCGGAUGGUUGUUUGAACCGCAUGGUUCAAACAUAAAAGGUGGCUUCGGCUACCACUUACAGAUGGACCCGCGGCGCAUUAGCUAGUUGGUGAGGUAACGGCUCACCAAGGCAACGAUGCGUAGCCGACCUGAGAGGGUGAUCGGCCACACUGGGACUGAGACACGGCCCAGACUCCUACGGGAGGCAGCAGUAGGGAAUCUUCCGCAAUGGACGAAAGUCUGACGGAGCAACGCCGCGUGAGUGAUGAAGGUUUUCGGAUCGUAAAGCUCUGUUGUUAGGGAAGAACAAGUACCGUUCGAAUAGGGCGGUACCUUGACGGUACCUAACCAGAAAGCCACGGCUAACUACGUGCCAGCAGCCGCGGUAAUACGUAGGUGGCAAGCGUUGUCCGGAAUUAUUGGGCGUAAAGGGCUCGCAGGCGGUUUCUUAAGUCUGAUGUGAAAGCCCCCGGCUCAACCGGGGAGGGUCAUUGGAAACUGGGGAACUUGAGUGCAGAAGAGGAGAGU